rnacentral:rRNA from 1 species
UGAGGAAUAUUGGACAAUGGGCGCAAGCCUGAUCCAGCCAUGCCGCGUGCAGGAAGAAGCAUCUAUGGUGUGUAAACUGCUUUUGUACGGGAAGAAACACUCCUACGUGUAGGAGCUUGACGGUACCGUAAGAAUAAGGAUCGGCUAACUCCGUGCCAGCAGCCGCGGUAAUACGGAGGAUCCAAGCGUUAUCCGGAAUCAUUGGGUUUAAAGGGCGCGUAGGCGGAUUAGUAAGUCAGUGGUGAAAGCCCAUCGCUCAACGAUGGAACGGCCAUUGAUACUGCUAGACUUGAAUUAUUAGGAAGUAACUAGAAUAUGUAGUGUAGCGGUGAAAUGCUUAGAUAUUACAUGGAAUACCAAUUGCGAAGGCAGGUUACUACUUGUGGAUUGACGCUGAUGGACGAAAGCGUGGGGAGCGAACA